rnacentral:lncRNA from 1 species
CAGCAAGGAUCAACAGUCAUUGGCCUAUCAACGCAAACAAAAUAAAACUCCAGAUACUGCCAUUAGAUGACAGUAUUACAGAGCCAAGAAGCACUAUACAGACCAACUUAAGCUUGCAGCACAACCUUUUUUCAGCAUCUCCUUCUCAGCCUUGUCAGCAAUGCCUGUCAAAUAUUUCAAAAUUAGAAGUCCAUUCAAACUGUAGAUAUUCAAAAGAGACGUUGUACUGAACUGAACAAACAUGUAGUGCAUAAACAUCUCAGACUCCCAUGUACUGUGCUGAACAAAUCAUAUGUAUCAGUGAGAAGAAAAACACCUCACUCUAUCAUGUAUUGUACUGAACAAGCAUGUAGUGUGUAAACAGCAACAAGAUAUUGCAGUAGCAAAGACAAAAAUUAUCAUGUAGUGUGUAAACAGCAACAAAAUAUUGCAGUAGCAAAGACAAAAAUUAUGCAACACGAAAGAGACCAAGAGAAAAAAUAUUGUCAUCCACAUCAUACAGGUUUUGCAAAGAAUAUAGUACACUGGAAGAAGAAUGGAGAUAGUACCUUCUACAUUAAAACAUCUACUCGUCAUCGCUGUCGAUAUCCAUUGUGGCACCUCCUUCGUUUUCACUGCAAUACUCCAAACCUGUAUCAUCUUCUUCAUCUUCGUCGCCACCUUCAUACAUUUUUGUGGUUUUAUCUUUCAUCAAACGAGCAACAACAUCAGCUUCAAAAGUAAUGCCUUGCUCAUCAUCUCUAUGCAAAGGCUUUUCAGAUGUAAGGUCAGAAACUGAUGUUCUCCUACCCUCCUCUUCACAACACUCCUCCUCUUGAUAUGCAGGACCACUAAAAGGUACACCCUCAGUUUCACUAAUAUUGAA